CCUACGGGAGGCAGCAGUGAGGAAUAUUGGUCAAUGGGCGCGAGCCUGAACCAGCCAAGUCGCGUGAGUGAUGACUGCCCUACGGGUUGUAAACUUCUUUUAUAAAGGAAUAAAGUGAGGCACGUGUGCCUUUUUGUAUUUACUUUAUGUAUUAGGAAAGGCUAACUCAGUUCCAGCAGCCGCGGUAAUACGGAGGAUCCGAGCGUUAUCCGGAUUUAUUGGGUUUAAAGUGAGCGUAGAUGGGUUGUUAAGUCAGUUGUGAAAGCUUGCGGCUCAACCGUAAAAUUGCAAUUGAUACUGGAAGUCUUGAGUACAGUUGAGGUAGGCGGAAUUCGUGGUGUAGCGGGGAAAUGCAUAGAUA
rnacentral:rRNA from 1 species